GGAAAGACGUCCCUCUGCUGCUCAACUGUAAUUGCAUAAGGUGGAUAUUCAUGACAUGCUUGAAAAGGAGAUGGCUGAGUUCUUUGAAGCUGUGAUCCUGUAAGGUACAGUGGAAUCAGUUGCAGGGCUGGAGCCUGUAUGAAUCAAAUGAUUUCUCCAGCAGCAAGCUCUUACGUGGAGGUUGCCUUCCCAUGGCCUGACCUGGGCACAGCUGAUGCUCCAUCCGUGAUGCUGGGGCCUUACUUGCAAGCUGAGAAUCAUGCCAGUAAAGCUUAGGAGGAAUCUUUCUGCCUGACAUCAUGCAUCACAUGGGAAGGUAACUCCUGCGUCAUGCCUGUAGCUAAAACAAUCA
rnacentral:lncRNA from 1 species